AAUUUUUAAAAGAGUUUAGCGCAGCAAAUUAAAACACAGAGAGCGUAAAGCGUAAUAAGUCACAGUUGAAACGAAUUUAGCCUUUUUAUAAAAAACAAUUUUCUUUCAGAAAAUUCACCAAGCAGAUUACGUGCGUUAAAAAUAAAAUGAGUGUAGGGCAAAAGAAAAACACACAAGGAUUUUUAUACUGGUUCGAUUCAACAGAAUCUACGUCCAGUCGUUAAUCACUACAAAGAGUGAUUAACAGUUCCACUAAAAAGAGAUUUAACAGAUUACAAUAAAAGGUACAGAAAUAGAAUGAAGGAAACCACUCUACCAACUUGAAGAGAACCUGC
rnacentral:lncRNA from 1 species